rnacentral:rRNA from 1 species
GACGAACGCUGGCGGCGUGCUUAACACAUGCAAGUCGAACGAAGUGGCGAACGGGUGAGUAAUACGUGGGUAACUGCCCUCCUUUUUGGGAUAAGCCUUGGAAACGGGGUCUAAUACCGAAUAAAGGGGGAUGGGCUCGCGGCCUAUCAGCUUGUUGGUGGGGUGAUGGCCUACCAAGGCGGUGACGGGUAGCCGGCCUGAGAGGGGACCGGCCAAAUGGGGCUGAGAUACGGCCCAGACUCCUACGGGAGGCAGCAGUGGGGAAUAUUGCACAAUGGGCGCAAGCCUGAUGCAGCCAUGCCGCGUGUAUGAAGAAGGCCUUAGGGUUGUAAACUUCUUUAGACAGGGACGCGGUACCUGUAGAAUAAGCCACGGCUAACUACGUGCCAGCCGCCGCGGUAAUUC